AUGUGCCACAUAGGCCUAUCAACCAAGCUUGGCCAGAAGACCGGUCUCAAAUACAGGGAAGCUACGACACAGUAUGUUCCUACAAGCAAAACUCCAGGUUCCAAAAUGGAACUGUCCAUGGAGCUAAACUUGAACAAUUUACCCUCCGAUCCUUUGCUGUUAAUGUUAUUCUUUCUUGACUUUAGAGAUUUUAUCAGAUUAGACGGGAAAUGUUAUUAAACAUUAUACAGUGUCUAUUCACAAAGCUGCCUGAGGAGAUGUUGCAGACACUCCGAAGCUGUCUAAACAAAAAGAGCCCAGCACGAGAUACAAUUUUUGAAACCUUUGGAAUUUAAAGGUGCAGUAUGCAGUUAUCGCGCCGCCAUUUCCUGGUUGUAAUUUUUUUGUUUAUGUGACAAACCAAGCAAUGCAUAGUUUUUUUUCAAGCAAUGCAUUGUGUUGAGAAUCAUUGUGCAAUCUAAACCGCUGUGAAAUAUAUUUUCAAUAACCAACAAUAUUGUGUUAUCAGCUGUUUGAACCUGGUGUACAAAACCAAAAGUAAAAGACUCAAAAACUAAAUUUAGGAAGGGUAAGCAUAGAAAUAGCAUGCAUAGAACAUAUCUACCGCUUCUUGAGCUUGCUUUAAAGACUGCAUGACAGAUCUACAACUCACUUUUCUAUGGAAUUUGGUCAUAGCAAUAAAAAAUAUUGUUUAUAUUUAUACAAACGAUACACUUAAUGUAUGCAGUUUAGGAAAGUUGCACCUGGCUGUAUUUUGAGAAACAGGAAAGGUGGAAUGGAAUUUUCCAAUGGAAAUGUGCGUGCAAGGUGAUGUUAGAGUUGCGUAAAUUCGAAUCUGGUAUCAGGAUAAAUAUAACAAUGAGUCACCGAUUGUAUACUAUGUAUUUUUUAUUAGCUAAGCAAUAAAUGGCAAAUGCAACUUUCGUAUAUACGGGCUCACUGUAAUACCACGCAGGGCAGAACGGGGAACUGACAGGAUGUACGUAAACAGUUGUUCUUAUACUGUGAUAGGCCAACAGACAGGUUGGAACAAUGUCUAUCACAGUAGAGGCUGAGCGUGGUUUAGACUUGCUCAGCCUAUCGCAGGCGCUCAGGCGGGUCCCCGCCUCUUGGCGCUUCUUGGAGUCCUCCCUCCGUCGAUGUAUAGAUUCUUACUGUUCUGGUAUCGCAGCCUAGUUAUAACAGUUGCUCAGUUCCUGCUAUUGUGUUGUUCAGUAUUUUUCCAUCUCAUUUAAACCUCGUGAUGGACCCCGACCCCCCCCCCCCCCCUAUACCUAAUUGACCACAACUUGUAAGAUACAGCAAGUCACACCCUGUGCUCAAUAUUGUUACAUACAAACACAAAACAAAGCAUCUGCUGGGCUUUUUAUCACAGUUUGCAACAUGCAGGUCAACACC
rnacentral:lncRNA from 1 species